rnacentral:rRNA from 1 species
GAUCUGCUGAGGGUAAGCCCUACUUCGCCUCGAUU